GGGAUUGUAGCUCAGUGGUAGAGUACUCGCCUAGCAUGUGUGAGGCACUGGGUUCGAUGCUCAGCACCA
rnacentral:tRNA from 1 species